AUCAAAGACGAGGACUCACUGAAACGAUUCACUUAUCAAACCGUCUGCAGCACACUAACCAGGUGGUCUAGAAAAAUGACACCUGGAGCGGGGUCACCUGUCCCUGAGGUGCGUGAGUGUCUGAAAGGGGUGGGGACGGCGGUGGUCUUGAGGAGCCGGGCCCGGCGGCCUCGUCUGAUCCAGGGUGCCGCAGUAGUCGUCGGUCGGAAAGUGCUUCUGGCAGAUGAAGAGCUUGUUGAGGACGUGGAGCGGAGUGUGUACUUCCAUGUCCAAAGCCAGCAGCCAUCGCCUCAGUCUCCCUGGGUCGCCGAGGGGAAACCGAUGAAAGACCAGGUCGGGUCGUUUUGUGUUCCAGCAGACGUGCCAGUAUGGAGGACUUCUUGGAGUUUGAUGAAUAAGAGCGUGAGCAGGAUAUACUGCAGAAACGCUUGCUCUUCGAAAAGAAGGUGCUAAUGUUGCCGGUGGUGCCACACAUCUCACACACCACUGUAAAAAUGUUCUUUGUCACCUCCUGCAUCAGUAUCAUUAGACUGAAUGGGUGCCAAUUCAAUGUGUUCGGCCUGUGAAGAGAAACGUGGUAAACAGACGGCAUGAAAGCGACUGAUUUUACAUCACACAUAUAAACAACCAAGAAGCUUGUUUAAACC